GUCUAUGACCAUACCACCCUGAACAUGCCCCAUCUCAUCUGAUCUCAAAAGCUAAGCACGGUCAGGCCUGGUUAGCACUUGGAGGUGAAAAAUU
rnacentral:rRNA from 1 species